rnacentral:misc_RNA from 1 species
GAUGAAGAACGUAGCGAAAUGCGAUACUUGGUGUGAAUUGCAGAAUCCCGUGAACCAUCGAGUCUUUGAACGCAAGUUGCGCCCGAAGCCAUUAGGCCGAGGGCACGCCUGCCUGGGUGUCACACACCGUUACCCUCGCGCCAACGUCCAUCGUUGGCCGCGGCGCGGGGCGUGCGCUGACCUCCCGCGAGCGGGGUCUCGUGGUUGGUUGAAAAUCGAGUUCGCGGUCGAGGGUGCCGUGAUGAAAUGGUGGAUGGGCGACGCCCGAGGCCAAUCACGCGCGACUCUGUCCGGCCCGGACUCCUGGACCCCUUCGGCGUCUCCGGACGCUCUUUGGCGAGACCUCAGGUCAGGCGGGGCUACCCGCUGAGUUUAAGCAUAUCAAUAAGCGGAGGA